rnacentral:misc_RNA from 1 species
GAUGAAGAACGCAGCGAAAUGCGAUACGUAAUGUGAAUUGCAGAAUUCAGUGAAUCAUCGAAUCUUUGAACGCAUAUUGCGCUCUCUGGUAUUCCGGAGAGCAUGCUUGUUUGAGUAUCAGUAAACACCUCAACUUCCAUAUCUUUUUUGAAAUGGGAGUUGGACUUGAGUGAUCCCAACGCUUUUCCUCACCGAAAAGUGGCGGGUUACUUGAAAUGCAGGUGCAGCUGGACUUUUCUUUGAGCUAUAAGCAUAUCUAUUUAGUCUGCCUAAAAAACAGAUUAUUACCUUUGCUGCAGCUAACAUAAAGGAGAUUAGUUCUUGUGCUGACUGAUGCAGGAUUCACAAAGACAGCUUCGGCCGACUUUGUAAACUCGAUCUCAAAUCAAGUAAGACUACCCGCUGAACUUAAGCAUAUCAAUAAGCGGAGGA